rnacentral:rRNA from 2 species
AACGCUGGCGGCGUGCCUAAUACAUGCAAGUCGAACGCGUCUUGGUUAUUGAUGUUAGAUGCUUGCAUUUAACUGAUUUAACAUUGAGACGAGUGGCGAACUGGUGAGUAACACGUGGGUAACCUGCCCUUGAAGUAGGGGAUAACACUUGGAAACAGGUGCUAAUACCGUAUAACAACCAAAACCACCUGGUUUUGGUUUAAAAGAUGGCUUCGGCUAUCACUUUAGGAUGGACCCGCGGCGUAUUAGCUUGUUGGUAAGGUAACGGCCUACCAAGGCAAUGAUACGUAGCCGACCUGAGAGGGUAAUCGGCCACAUUGGGACUGAGACACGGCCCAAACUCCUACGGGAGGCAGCAGUAGGGAAUCUUCCACAAUGGACGAAAGUCUGAUGGAGCAACGCCGCGUGAGUGAUGAAGGGUUUCGGCUCGUAAAACUCUGUUGUUGGAGAAGAACAGGUGUGAGAGUAACUGUUCACAUCUUGACGGUAUCCAACCAGAAAGCCACGGCUAACUA